CCUUUGUGUUGUUUCGUUUUAGUUGAUCAGUAUUGGAGCCCAGUUGGGGUCGAUCGGGGACCUUUGUCGCAUUUGGGGUUCUUCUUUUAUUUUGGUUCCGUAGUCGGACCUUGCUUGUAUCUGGAUGAUGUAAUGCUUUAUUCAUGUAAUUGUGUGAAGUGGCGAUUGUAAGCCAACUAUGUAUCUCUUUCCCUUAUGUAUUACAUGGGUUGUGUGAAGAUUACCUCACUUGCGACAUUGCUUUCAAUGCGGUUAUGCCUCUAAGUCGUGCUUCGACUCGUGGGAGAUAUAGCCGCAUUGAGGGCGUUACAAGUUGGUAAUCAGAGCCUUCCCCGACCUUAGGAGCCCCACUGAUUGAUCGUUUUUAGCGGCCGAGUUUGAGUCUAGAAAAAAUGUUUUGAGUCAUUUAGGAAUUAUAUAUCGGAGAGUUUAGGAAUUCUUUUUACUUCCCAGUCUCCUCAUCGCUCUGGUAAGGCAUCCUGACGUAGAGUUUUGACUCUUCUCUUCUCAAAUUUCACUAAAUUUUUUUUUUUAGGAUCACGCGGGUAUCUUGGAAUCGUUCCGAUGGUUUUAUGAUGAGAACAUUGUCUUGGUGCCUCCUGUCAGGGGUUUAGUGGAAGUGUCCCAGGGAGUUGAGCUCUGAGGUGUUGUCGUCAUAAUUUUAUCGUUGCAGUUCUGGAAUACCUGAGUUUAGUACGCCGACAUCGAAAAUCUCUUUUAUGCAGUUGUUGGUGAGAUAACCCCGAUAACCCAGUACUGAGGUGAGUACGGGAGUAUUGCCAUGACUUGUAUAACGGAUGCUUUUCGAAGGUUGAGGUAGACGAUUUCCGAAGGUUUCUUGGUUAUGUGUUGAAGGAUGGAUACAUCUGGAUGUAGGAUUUGUUAGUUUUGGGUGAGAUAUUAUGCUUCCCCUGUAUCCCCAACACCUGAUUGCAUAACCUGAAAAUUUCGGGAGUUUCAUAGGUGGGAAUUCAAGUAGCUCUUAGGAUAUCUUUCCGACAGAUGUAUGAUUUGAAAUUGGGGUUCGACGUCUAGUGGUCCGCCUUUCCACGGUCAUUUUUACAGUGGUCUCGUUGUGUCUUAAAGAGUCCUUGGCUAUGCCGACUCGGGGACGCUUCGUAUGUCAUGUGCACUGCCUUGUACAUGAUGGUGCUGUACACUCGAGCCCGUGUAGGCCCCACCACGAAAACUUCGGACGAAAUCUCUAUCAUAUGUUUGUUCCGGCUUAUUCUGCAAGCCAGUCCUUUGUUUUUGUUUUGAGUUGUGGUAUUCGAGUUGCUUCAAUGUCAAGUGUUGAUUCCAUACCUUUCCGAAAUGGUGUUCUCAUACUCCGAUGUGAAUACCAAUCCUUCUCGACAAUCGAGAUUGUCAUGUCAAUCCUUUUCAACCAGCGUCUUUCUCUUCAAGUGGAUCCGAUCAUUUCAACAUUCGCAAGAUCACCUCUCAGUUCUCUCAACGGUGUUUGUUUCAUCCGUCCCAAGUUGUUUUUGUUUUCCCGCCCUCCCACCCCUUUUUCUUCAAGGACUCAGAUUUCUUAAUCGAGUAUCCAUUUUAUUGAUGGGAAGUUUCUCCAUUCUUUUCCGUCAAUAUUCUUAUCCGGUGAUUCUCAUGAAGAUUCUAAUGGAGCUUCAAGUUCGUCAUUCCUCGUUCUUUUCUUCUCCGGUGGAUUUAAUUCAAGCUUUGGUAUUAAGCAUACUCCUUUUCUUUUUUUUCCAAUGCUUUUCUUAUGCCGGUGCACCUCUUAAUCAUCCAUCUCUCGCUAUUAAAUUGUUCCGGAGUGCUCAAGAUAUCUCGAAGAUUCGUGUUUCCACUCUGCAUUCGUUCAAGCUCUUUCGAGAUUGGUAUCUCAUUCAAGUCAUUUAAUUCAACCGGUGCAACAUCUCUUUUAAAUCUUUUCAACGGUGUUCUUUUGAGUGGGCCCUAACCCACAGGUCUUUUCCCAGGAUCUUACCUGACUCUUCUAUUUUCCCAGAGCUAUCCUAAAUUCUUCUCCACGUUUGACGUAAGAAUGAGUUAUCAUUAGUCAAAUGCUUUUCUCCAAGAUCUUUCAAAUUCUUUUCAUAGUUGGCUCAACCUCUUCGCUUUUGAUUCUUCCGGUGUGCCUCAAUAAUUCUUGGUGGUGUUUCUCGUUGUCAUUCUCAUCAUUUGAAGACCGAAGAAGAGUUUCUCUUUAAUCUUGCUCUAUUCUCUUCAAGAUUCAUGGUGCUAGAUUGUUGCCAUCCUCUCAUAAUUGUUUUCGAUGGUGAGAAUCUUUUUCACCCAUCAGGAGAUAUUCAAGAGUCUUCUCAGUUUGUCAUCCGGAGUCCAUCAAUUCAGGUUUAUUCAUUCUCGGCCGUCAGUUAUCAUUCUCCUAUCUUGCCGGUGCAUCUAUCGAAUAUCCUCUAAUCAGUUCUUGAUCUCUUUGUUCUCAUGUAUCUAGUUUGUCUCAAGCACCUUCGUUCAUUUGCUAAUUCUUACCGGUGAUGCACCCCUACUUCGAUCAUUUUCAAUUCUUACGGUGGUUCUUUCAAGAUCUCUCUUCCUUGUUCAUCAUAUCAAUUCAUUUGUUGUUCCAAUCCUACCGGUGGUUCGUUGAAGACCUUCUCAAGUUUUGAUAUAUCUCUUUUAAUCCUUUCUACGAGAAUAAGUAGUAUGCCAAAUCCGUUGAUUGUCAUCAAUUUAAUUGGUGAAGGAUAAGCAUAAUGUAAUUCUUAUUCUUGUUUCACCCAAGAUAUUAAUUCCUUAUUCCUGAGGCUCAUCAAAUUCUUGUUUCCAUUUGUUUCAUCUUCUCUUUUUCCCGGAGUUCCAAGCUUUAAUUAUCACGGAGAUCCAUCUAAAUCAUUGCAAGGAUUCACCUUGUGUUUUCAAUUUCUCUUUCUUUUCAUUCCUUUUGUUUACCGGAGUUCUUCAUGGAGGUUCUACAUGAUGGUUCAUCAAGGAUUUAAUUCCCUUCUCAAAGUUUUCAUCGAGAUUCUUUCCUAAGGAGCAAAAGCUUUCUUCAUAUGGUAAUCCGGAGUGCAAUUCUUUCUACCAUAUUUUGGAGGUGGUAUUAUGUCAUUCUUGAUAAUUUGAGUUCAUGUUCCAUGAUUCACAUGUUGUUAAGAAUGAGUUAUUUUUAAAUCCAUCAACCUCGUUGUUGGAGUUAUCCUGUGUCAUAUUCCACCUAAAGCCUUCCCUAAGGUUUGUUGCUGUCUAUGGUGCUUAUAAAUGACCCAAGUUCUUCAUUUAUCCUCCCGGCGGAAUAAGUUUCUCGUCUCCUUGUCAUAUAAAUCCAAUCAAUUCUUUUCCCGUGAGUGGCAGGCUGUCACCUCAUAAUUUGAGAUGUUUUCCAUAAGACCAUAUCAAGUUUAUUCUUUUCGUUGUGGAUUGUUUCAACAACUCCGUGUGACCCUUCUCUUUAAGAUGCUUUUCAAGCUCAUUGGAGGUAGAAGAUGUUGUUUUCUUCUCCGUUCUUUUGUUCCGUCGAUACAACUUCUAUUAUUUUGUUCCGGAGGCAUCGUGUUGUUGUUCUCUUCAACCCAUCUUCUUGUUGUGUCAAGAUCAUGUUCUUUUCAUGAUUGUCCAUUUAACCGGAGUGUCGUGCCCUCUUUUCAAGUUCUUUUUCAUCUUAUCAAGUCUUGCAUCUCUUUUCAACCGGAGUGUUGUUCGAAUUUGAUCUUCCUUGUUCCUUGUUUAUCUCGUUUCAACCAGAGUGGUUCCAAUUCCUUCUUGUCCAUGGUACUCGUCUUUCAUAGCUUUGCAACCUCCAAGGUUCACAUGGUGUUCCUUGUUUCUCUUUUCUACCGCAGUGCUCUCAAUUGUGUUCAACUCUGUUAUGUCCUUUCUUUCAACUUUUCAACCUCUCAAGGUUCUUUGGUUUCACUCUUUUGUCGAAGAAGCAACUUAGUUUUACCUCUUCUCUUCCUCUUCCGUUUUCCCUCCGGUGCCAUCCUAGAUCUCGGGACGAGAUCCUCUCGUAAUGGUGGAGUGUUGUAACGCCCCGAGACCGAUGCUCGAGAAGACUUCCGGCUAUUCCGAGUUUCGCCGUGUGUUUUAUUUGCUUUUGUGCAUUUCAUCAUGUCAUCAUGUGCAUGGUGUGAUUUCUCAUACAUAUUAUGUUGUUGCAUGUUCCAUGCAUGAAUCUCGCAUCACCCACCUUUUCCUUCCCUCUACUUCCUUCUUUUGACAAGUGCCAUUUUCCCCUUCUCCUUUAAUGUUCACCUUCUCCCAAAUAGUCAAACUUAUUGCCCUAAACCCCACCGCCAAAUUUCACCUCUUUUGGGAAUGUUUUGGUUAGGUUUUAAAAUGGCUCAAGUUUGAAUUUAAUUCAAACUUGAAUUAUUUUUCUUCCUCUAAAAAUUGCCAAACCAAUUUAUUCAAAUUCUGCAUAUUCUCAAGACUCCAGGGAUAUUUUCUUUUCUGAAAUAUUCCACCUCUAGCACCUCUUUCUUUUCUCCUAAAUUCUGGUUGAAGAAUUAAGGAAAAGAAAAGAGAGAUGGAGAAGCCAGCCCAACUGGGCCUCCCAGCUACCGCAGCUCGGCCCAGCCACCCGCGCAGCCAGACCGGCCCAAGGCCUAGGCCCAGCAGCGCCCCCCUCUAACCCUAGUUUCCCGAUCCCCUCAUCUCUCCCUCCCUUCGUCCUCUUCCAGCGCCGCCAGUCACCCAUCGUCCGAUCCCAUCGCCUCUCCUGCUCGAUCCCAUCUCUCUCCCGCGACCCCGAGCUCCCUGCAGUCCGAGCGCCACGAGGAGGAGCCCCUUGAGCACCGGCCGCCGCCGCCAGUCUUCGUCGUGCCCCUGCUGCCUUCCUUCCCCGCGCCUCCUCCUCGCCAACUCCCUGUCGCCGAGCGUUGAGGAGAGGAGCCCCUCGAGCACCGGCCGCGCGCCGCGCGCCCAACCUCCUCUUCGCCCGCCUCCUCGUCUGUCCGUCGCCGACGCGGCGCGGGCCCCGCCUGACGGAUCCCCGAGCAGUCUUCCGGCGCCGCGCCUCCCCGUCACCCGCGUCUCCUCGCGCUGGCCCCGGCGAGCCGGCCACCGGAGCCUCGCCGACGCCCCGUCCUCGCCUCUCCACACGCUCGCCAGGUCCCCAUGCCGAGCCGGCCCUGCAGCCCCAUCCCCGGCCUCCGAUGACUCGCCGCGCCCGCCAAGUUCCUGCGUGAGCCUCCUCUGCUCGCUCGCGUGGGCCGCAGCGGCUGCAAGGCCGGUCGUAGCCAGCCAGCCUCGCCUCUGCUCCGAAACCAGGAUCGUCAAGGUCAUCUUCGAGAAUUUUCGCCAAGUACCACGACAUUCGGAGCCCCUUGGAAACGUCAAGUUCGACUACAAAACGUCAAACGUGUACCACUACCGCCGCCCGAACUUCUACGAAUGGUGUACCACGACGAACAUGUACGGCUACAUGAUGACCCGCCAAGACCUCGAACCACUACCAUCGCGAGAACAACUACUUCCACUACCGUCGCCACAUGAACAACUACUUCCUCUACCGACGCCGUGUACAACUACUUCCGACGACGUCCCGUGAACGCCUACUUCCUCUACACCGCUCCGAAUGCGAACCGUCUCGUUUGAACGCUUCGAAGGUAUAACCCGAAACGACCGUCGUGGACCGAAUGCACGUUGUAUGAGAUGCCCGUGUUUGCACCAUGUCCGAAUUGUCAUUGCAAGUUCCUCCUCGUUUCCAUGCCACAAUCCCGUGGGAACCCGGUAGCCGGGAGCACCCCACCAUCUUGCAUGACACGCUCACGCUCACUUCCUUUUGUACCGGUAUCUCCGUGAGCUACCGGAACCGAUAUGUUGCCGUGGCAUCAUUUUCGGAUAUGUUGCCGUGGCACCAUUUUUGUUUCGCCGCCGUGGCACCUUUUCCCUUCCGCCAUGGCGACUAAUGCUUCUUAUCAUGCUCAUGUCAACAUUUUCAUAAAAAUUGCAUAAAACUUGCAUAUGUCAUCCGCAUCAUGAUAACAACAAUUAAAAUGUUUAAAAUUGUUGUUUGCUUUAAAUUGCUAAAUAACAUGGGGAUUUUCCGGAAUUGUUGUUUGUUGUUUCCGGCCUCAUUUAAACUUGCCUAGAUAGGUAGUUUUCUUUUGCUUCACCCUCUUGCCAUGUUUAACAACACUUAAUAUUGUUGGGUACAUAAACGAGAUCAAACUAAAUAACUUGUUGUGGUGUUUCGUCAAUAUGCAACUCGUUGCAUAUUGAUCUCCACUUAAUUUGUAGAACUGCUUGUGCACUUUGCCAUGCCAUGCUUCAUUAAACCGGACAUGCAUCAUACUCGUUUGUGCAUCAUGCCAUGUUGAUGUGUUGGUUAUUUACUAUGUUGUGUGCUUCUUUCCGGUGAUUGCUUCUUCGGGUUGGUUCCGAUAACGUCGCGUUUGUGAGGAUCCGUUCGACUACGUCCGUUUGUCUUCUUCAUGGACUCGUUCUUCUUCCUUGCGGGAUUUCAGGCAAGAUGAUCAUACCCUCGAAAUCACUACUAUCUUUGCUAUGCUAGUUUGCUCGCUCUUUUGCCAUGCCAAUGCUACGAUGCCUACCAUUUGCUUGUCAGCCUCCCAAAUUGCCAUGUUCAGCCUCUAACCCACCAUGUCCUAGCAAACCGUUGAUUGGCUAUGUUACCGCUUUGCUCAGCCCUCUUAUAGCGUUGUUAGUUGCAGGUGAAGAUUGAAGUUUGUUCCUUGUUGGAACAUGGAGAUGUUGUUCCUUGUUGGAACAUGUUUACUUGUUGGGAUAUCACAAUAUAUCUUACUUAAUUAAUGCAUCUAUAUACUUGGUAAAGGGUGGAAGGCUCGGCCUUAUGCCUGGUGUUUUGUUCCACUCUUGCCGCCCUAGUUUCCGUCAUAUCGGUGUUAUGUUCCCGGAUUUUGCGUCCCUUACGCGGUUGGGCUAUAAUGGGAACCCCUUGACAGUUCGCCUUAAGUAAAGCUCUUCCAGCAAUGACCAACAUUGGUUUUACCAUUCUCCACCUAGCCUCUUUUUCCCUUGGGUUUCGCGGACUCAAGGGUCAUCAUUAUUUUACCCCCCGGGCCAGUGCUCCUCUGAGUGUUGGUCCAACCUGUCAGCUGCCGGUGGCCACCAGGGGCAACUCUGGGUUGGCCUACCCGUACCUAAGACAAUCUGAGUGUGCCCUGAGAAAGAGAUAUGUGCAGCUCCUAUCGGGAUUUGUCGGCACAUUCGGGCGGUGUUGCUGGUUUAGUUUUACCCUGUCGAAAUGUCUUGUUGUACCGGGAUACCGAGUCUGAUCGGAACGUCUCGGGUGGAGGUCUAUUCCUUCGUUGACCGUGAGAGCUUGUCGUGGGCUAAGUUGGGACACCCCUGCAGGGAUUUGAACUUUCGAAAGCCGUGCCCGCGGAUAUGGGCAGAUGAGAAUUUGUUAACGUCCGGUUAUAGAAAACCCGAAGUUGACCUUAAUUAAAAUACAUCAACCGUGUGUGUAACCGUGAUGGUCUCUUUCCGGCGGAGUCUGGGAAGUGAACACGGUGUUGGAGUUAUGCUUGACGUAGGUUGCUAUAGGAUCACUUCUUGAUCAUACUUUUAUCGACCGUGCUUUGCCUUCUCUUCUCGCUCUCAUUUGCGUAUGUUAGCCACCAUAUAUGCUAGUCGCUUGCUGCAGCUCCAUCUCAUUACUCCAUCCUUCCUAUAAGCUUAAAUAGUCUUGAUCUCGCGGGUGUGAGAUUGCUGAGUCCCCGUGGCUCACAGAUACUUCCAAAACCAGCUUGCAGGUGCCGAUGAGUCUGUGCAGAUGACGCAACCAAGCUCAGGAGGAGCUCGAAGAAGAUCUUCCCCUUUGUGUUGUUUCGUUUUAGUUGAUCAGUAUUGGAGCCCAGUUGGGGUCGAUCGGGGACCUUUGUCGCAUUUGGGGUUCUUCUUUUAUAUUGGUUCCGUAGUCGGACCUUGCUUGUAUCUGGAUGAUGUAAUGCUUUAUUCAUGUAAUUGUGUGAAGUGGCGAUUGUAAGCCAACUAUGUAUCUCUUUCCCUUAUGUAUUAC
rnacentral:lncRNA from 1 species